UACGUAGGGUGCAAGCGUUGUCCGGAAUUAUUGGGCGUAAAGAGCUCGUAGGCGGUCUGUUGCGUCGGCCGUGAAAACCCGGGGCUCAACCCCGGGCCUGCAGCCGAUACGGGCAGACUAGAGUUCGGCAGGGGAGACUGGAAUUCCUGGUGUAGCGGUGAAAUGCGCAGAUAUCAGGAGGAACACCGGUGGCGAAGGCGGGUCUCUGGGCCGAUACUGACGCUGAGGAGCGAAAGCGUGGGGAGCGAACAGG
rnacentral:rRNA from 1 species